rnacentral:rRNA from 1 species
GAUCCUGCUCAGGAUGAACGCUGGCGGCGUGCUUAACACAUGCAAGUCGAGCGAAGCACUUAGGAAAGAUUCUUCGGAUGAUUUCCUAAGUGACUGAGCGGCGGACGGGUGAGUAACGCGUGGGUAACCUGCCUCAUACAGGGGGAUAACAGUUAGAAAUGACUGCUAAUACCGCAUAAGGCCACAGCACCGCAUGGUGCAGGGGUAAAAACUCCGGUGGUAUGAGAUGGACCC